CCGCAGGGUGAUCCAGCCAUGGCCGCGUGCAGGAAGAAGGCCCUAUGGGUCGUAAACUGCUUUUGCACCAGAGAAAACCCUCCUUCGUGAAGGGGGCUGAUAGUAUGGUGAGAAUAAGCAUCGGCUAACUUCGUGCCAGCAGCCGCGGUAAGACGAAGGAUGCAAGCGUUAUCCGGAUUCAUUGGGUUUAAAGGGAGCGUAGGCGGCCUUAUAAGUCAGUGGUGAAAUCUUUCCGCUUAACGGGAAAAUUGCCAUUGAUACUGUAGGGCUUGAGUACAGUUGCCGUUGGCGGAAUAUGACAUGUAGUGGUGAAAUACAUAGAGAUGUCAUAGAACACCGAUUGCGAAGGCAGCUAACGAAACUGUAACUGACGCUGAGGCUCGAAAGUGUGGGGAUCAAACAGGAUUAGAUACCCUGGUAGUCCACACUGUAAACGAUGAUUACUCGCUGCUGGGGGGCAACCUUCAGUGGCUUAGCGAAAGCGAUAAGUAAUCCACCUGGGGAGUACGCCGGCAACGGUGAAACUCAAAGGAAUUGACGGGGGCCCGCACAAGCGGUGGAGUAUGUGGUUUAAUUCGAUGCAACGCGAAGAACCUUACCUGGCCUUGACAUGUCCGGAAUCCUGCAGAGAUGCGGGAGUGCCUUCGGGAAUCGGAACACAGGUGCUGCAUGGCUGUCGUCAGCUCGUGUCGUGAGAUGUUGGGUUAAGUCCCGCAACGAGCGCAACCCUUGUCCUUAGUUGCCAGCACGUAAAGGUGGGAACUCUAAGGAGACUGCCGGUGACAAACCGGAGGAAGGUGGGGAUGACGUCAAGUCAUCAUGGCCCUUACGGCCAGGGCUACACACGUACUACAAUGGUCGGUACAGAGGGUUGCGAGACCGCGAGGUGGAGCCNAUCCCNAGAAAGCCGAUCUCAGUCCGGAUCGGAGUCUGCAACUCNACUCCGUGAAGUCNG
rnacentral:rRNA from 1 species